rnacentral:misc_RNA from 1 species
UAAAUAAAUAAAUAAAGCAUUUUGACGCUUAAGAAAUAUAGGCCACUAUGAGAGGAAUUCAACAUUAACUCGAUGUCAUGUAAAUUACAGUUGAAACCAUCUAGAAGCAUAAGGCCAGAAAACUAGGAAAUUUGAUUAAUCUAGAACCUACUACAAUUUAUACUAAUUAUAUCAAUAACAAAUCUGGGCAUAAAGCAGGCUGACUAUGGAGCCGAUUAUUGAAGACUCAAACUAUGCAAUGAGAAAGUUGAGAAAACCAAGAGGGGUACAUUUUUACAAGCUCAUAAUAUUCAUUCGUACUAUAUCAUUUUUACGCCCAAACAACAGACAUUUGCACCACAUAUCGUAUAGAGAGAUUAUUAAUGAACAGAAUGGCAUAAGGAAAUCUACCUUUGGAUCUCGAAGAUAAUG